rnacentral:lncRNA from 1 species
UGUUCCACGCGCAGAGACUGACCAACACCAACCUUCUGUUCGUGGUGGCGGAGAAGCCGCUGUGCAGCCAGUGCGAGGUCGGCCGGCUGCUACAAAAGGAGACACACUCGGACGGCCCGGAGCAGUGUGAGCUGGUGCAGAGACCGCGAUACCGAAGAGGCCCGCACAUCUGUUUUGACUACAAUGCGACGGAAGAUACCUCAGACUGUGGCCGCGGAGCCUCCUUCCCUCCGUCGCUGGGCGUCUUGGUUUCCCUGCAGCUGUUGCUCCUCCUAGGCCUGCCACCUCGGCCGCAGCCUCAAAUCCAUUCCUUCGCUGCCUCUCGCCGCCUCUGAACUACCCACACACACACAUCAUAGCCCCCACCCCCACCCCGCCUUGGCCUCCUAGCCUUUUCGCUCACCCUCCCAUGCCACAUUCCCCAAUCUAGAUCCUUGGCCAGUCUCUCCUGAAGGAACUGGGCCCCUUCCCCGGGGCCUGUGCCUUGGGGCAGGGGAGCCCCAAAGUAAGGUGCCAUGGUGUUUGGCACUCAAGAUUUAUCUCACCCUUGAACUGUCCAAGUGCCCACAGUCCCUGGACUCACCCCUGUGGGUUGGGACAGGAGGCCACUAGUACCGAUGCCAAACCAGGCCUUCACCAACCCACCUGCCUGGAGAUUUUCUCUAUGUAGGCAACCCUGCCACUGCUGGGCGCCU